GAUCUCUCCAGGUAGAGAAGAAGACCAGCUGGUUUUCAUGAUCUCUCCAGGUAGAGAAGAAGACCAGCUGGUUUUCAUGAUCUCUCCAGGUAGAGAAGAAGACCAGCUGGUUUUCAUGAUCUCUCCAGGUAGAGAAGAAGACCAGCUGGUUUUCAUGAUCUCUCCAGGUAGAGAAGAAGACCAGCUGGUUUUCAUGAUCUCUCCAGGUAGAGAAGAAGACCAGCUGGUUUUCAUGAUCUCUCCAGGUAGAGAAGAAGACCAGCUGGUUUUCAUGAUCUCUCCAGGUAGAGAAGAAGACCAGCUGGUUUUCAUGAUCUCUCCAGGUAGAGAAGAAGACCAGCUGGUUUUCAUG